rnacentral:rRNA from 1 species
GAUGAACGCUGGCGGCGUGCCUAACACAUGCAAGUCGAGCGAUUCUCUUCGGAGAAGAGCGGCGGACGGGUGAGUAACGCGUGGGUAACCUGCCCUGUACACACGGAUAACAUACCGAAAGGUAUGCUAAUACGAGAUAAUAUACUUUUAUCGCAUGGUAGAAGUAUCAAAGCUCCGGCGGUACAGGAUGGACCCGCGUCUGAUGAGCUAGUUGGUAAGGUAACGGCUUACAAAGGCGACGAUCAGUAGUCGACCUGAGAGGGUGAUCGGCCACAUUGGAACUGAGACACGGUCCAAACUCCUACGGGAGGCAGCAGUGGGGAAUAUUGCACAAUGGGCGAAAGCCUGAUGCAGCAACGCCGCGUGAGCGAUGAAGGCCUUCGGGUCGUAAAGCUCUGUCCUCAAGGAAGAUAAUGACGGUACUUGAGGAGGAAGCCCCGGCUAACUACGUGCCAGCCGCCGCCGUAA